AGCAGCCGCGGUAAUUCCAGCUCCAAUAGCGUGUAUUAAAAUUGUUGCAGUUAAAAAGCUCGUAGUUGAAUUUCGGGAUCAGUACGCUGGUCGUGCCUUUGGUAUGUACUGGUGUCACUGAUUCCUCCCUUCUGAAGAACCGUUAUGCCAUUUAUUUGGUGUGGCGGGGAAUCAGGACUGUUACUUUGAAAAAAUUAGAGUGUUUAAAGCAGGCUCGCGCUUGAAUACAUUAGCAUGGAAUAAUGAAAUAGGACGUUUGAUCUUAUUUUGUUGGUUUCUAGGAUCGACGUAAUGAUUAAUAGGGAUAGUUGGGGGCAUUAGUAUUCAAUUGUCAGAGGUGAAAUUCUUGGAUUUAUUGAAGACUAACUACUGCGAAAGCAUUUACCAAGGAUGUUUCAUUAAUCAAGA
rnacentral:rRNA from 1 species